rnacentral:rRNA from 1 species
AUUGAACGCUGGCGGCAGGCCUAACACAUGCAAGUCGAGCGGAGCGGCGGACGGGUGAGUAAUGCCUAGGUAUCUGCCUGGUAGUGGGGGAUAACGUCCGGAAACGGGCGCUAAUACUGCAUAAUAUCAGAAGAGCCUAGGUCGGAUUAGCUAGUUGGUGGGGUAAAGGCCUACCAAGGCGACGAUCCGUAUCUGGUCUGAGAGGAGGAUCAGUCACACUGGGACUGAGACACGGUCCAGACUCCUACGGGAGGCAGCAGUGGGGAAUGUUGGACAAUGGGCGAAAGCCUGAUCCGGCCAUGCCGCGUGUGUGAAGAAGGUCUUCGGAUUGUAAAGCACUUUAGGUUGGGAGGCGUUACCAGCAGAAUAAGCACCGGCUAACUUCGUGCCAGCAGCCGCGGUAAUUC